rnacentral:rRNA from 1 species
UGUACACACCGCCCGUCGCUACUACCGAUCGAAUGGUUUAGUGAGGACGUUGGAGGCGAUUGUUUGGGGGAUGUAAUGUCCGCCGGGGAUUGCCGAAAUUGGACGAACUUGAUCAUUUAGAGGAAGUAAAAGUCGUAACAAGGUUUCCGUAGGUGAACCUGCGGAAGGAUCAUUU